rnacentral:rRNA from 1 species
UACGGAGGGUGCAAACGUUGCUCGGAAUCAUUGGGCGUAAAGCGCAUGUAGGCGGUCCAGCAAGUCGGGUGUGAAAGCCCUCGGCUUAACCGAGGAAGUGCAUUCGAAACUACUGGACUUGAGUACUGAAGAGGGUCGCGGAAUUCCCGGUGUAGAGGUGAAAUUCGUAGAUAUCGGGAGGAACACCGGUGGCGAAGGCGGCGACCUGGGUCGAGACUGACGCUGAGGCGCGAAGGUCAGGGGAGCAAACGGG